rnacentral:rRNA from 1 species
GAUUAACGCUGGCGGCAUGCUUAACACAUGCAAGUCGAGGGGAAACGACAUCGAAAGCUUGCUUUUGAUGGGCGUCGACCGGCGCACGGGUGAGUAACGCGUAUCCAACCUGCCCACCACUUGGGGAUAACCUUGCGAAAGUAAGACUAAUACCCAAUGAUAUCUCUAGAAGACAUCUGAAGGAGAUUAAAGAUUUAUCGGUGAUGGAGGGGGAUGCGUCUGAUUAGCUUGUUGGCGGGGUAACGGCCCACCAAGGCGACGAUCAGUAGGGGUUCUGAGAGGAAGGUCCCCCACAUUGGAACUGAGACACGGUCCAAACUCCUACGGGAGGCAGCAGUGAGGAAUAUUGGUCAAUGGGCGAGAGCUUGAACCAGCCAAGUAGCGUGCAGGAUGACGGCCCUAUGGGUUGUAAGCUGCUUUUAUAAGGGAAUAAAGUGAGCCUCGUGAGGCUUUUUGCAUGUACCUUAUGAAUAAGGACCGGCUAAUUCCGUGCCAGCCGCCGCCGUAA